UGCCAGCAGCCGCGGUAAUACGUAGGGAGCAAGCGUUGUCCGGAUUUACUGGGUGUAAAGGGAGCGCAGGCGGGUUGGUAAGUCAGAGGUGAAAUCUCACAGCUUAACUGUGAAACUGCCUUUGAUACUGCUAAUCUUGAAUUAAGUUGAGGUUAGCGGAAUGUGACAUGUAGCGGUGAAAUGCAUAGAUAUGUCAUAGAACACCAAUUGCGAAGGCAGCUGACUGGGCUUAUAUUGACGCUGAGGCACGAAAGCGUGGGGAGCGAACAGGAUUAGAUA
rnacentral:rRNA from 1 species